CGACGUAGGUAACCUGCCUGGUAGCGGGGGAUAACUAUUGGAAACGAUAGCUAAUACCGCAUAAUAUUAAUUAUUGCAUGAUAAUUGAUUGAAAGGUGCAAUUGCACCACUACCAGAUGGACCUGCGUUGUAUUAGCUAGUAGGUGAGGUAACGGCUCACCUAGGCGACGAUACAUAGCCGACCUGAGAGGGUGAUCGGCCACACUGGGACUGAGACACGGCCCAA
rnacentral:rRNA from 1 species